CACGUAGGGGGCGAGCGUUGUCCGGAUUUAUUGGGCGUAAAGGGCUCGUAGGCGGCUCAGUAAGUCGGGUGUGAAACCUCCAGGCUCAACCUGGAGACGCCACUCGAUACUGCUGUGGCUAGAGUCCGGUAGGGGAGCAUGGAAUUCCUGGUGUAGCGGUGAAAUGCGCAGAUAUCAGGAGGAACACCGGUGGCGAAGGCGGGUCUCUGGGCCGAUGACUGACGCUGGAGGAGCGAAAGCGUGGGGAGCGAACAGG
rnacentral:rRNA from 1 species